rnacentral:lncRNA from 1 species
AUGAGUCAGACACGACUGAGCGACUUUACUUUCACUUUUCACUUUCAUGCAUUGGAGAAGGAAAUGGCAACCUACUCCAGUGUUCUUGCCUGGAGAAUCCCAGGGACGGGGGAGCCUGGUUGGCUGCUGUCUAUGGGGUCGCACAGAGUCGGACACCACUGGAAGCAACUCAGCAGCAGCAGCAGCAGCCCCUCUGCUAUUACGGCUCCACCUUUCAGAGAGAGUCCCUGGGGGCUGCCCUUAGUGGCUGAUGGCCCAGCUUCCAUGGCAAAGGUGGUGAUGGCAGAACUGACAAACCUGAAGUUGGAAAACAAGUCAUGGCCUAGAGGGACGCACUCCCUCCGCUACCACUACCUGUACCUGUCAGAGCCGGGCCCGAGCCUCCCUAAGUUUCUUGCUGUAGGCUAUGUGGAUGAUCAGCCUUUUAUCCGGUAUGACAGUCGUGUGGACAAAGCUGAGCCCCAGGCUCCAUGGAUUACGCCGAUGAAUGCCAAGUACUGGGAGAAGGAGACCAAGAAGCAGAGGAAAUGGGCAGAGAUUCAUCAGGUGGAGACAUGGCAAACGAUGGGUUACCACAACCACAGCAGCGGCAUGCACAGCACUCACCGCAUGUUUGGCUGUGAGAUCCAGGAAGACGGCCACUUCAACAGCUUCUGGCGGUUUGGCUAUGAUGGGCAAGACCACGUGUCACUGGACAUGGAAACUCUGAGCUGGGUGUCAGCUAACCCCGUGGCUCUGUUGACCAAGCGCAGAAUUGAGACAGAGCACUGCUAUGCUGAGUACGACAAAGCCUACCUGGAAGGCCCCUGCCUCGCCUCCCUGCACAGAUACCUGGAGUUAGGAGGCCAGAGAGUCACCCGGAGAGAACCACCCACAGUACGGGUGACAAAGCACUCAGCCCAGGACGGGGGUACCACCCUGAGGUGCUGGGCCCUGGGCUUCUAUCCACAAGACAUCUCGCUGAGCUGGUGGCUGGGUGAGAAGAAGUUGAAUUCAAAGCUUGAGUAUGUGGAGCCACACCCCAGUGGAGAUGGCACCUAUCAGGUGUGGAUGGCCGUGUGGGUGCCGGCUGGGGAUGAGACCCAGUACACGUGCCAUGUGCAGCACAGCAGCCUGAAUCACACGCUCACUGUGUCCUGGGAAAUGCCCUCUCAUCCAGGACUUAGGGCCGGGGUUAUCUCUCUCAUCCUGAUCUUGCUGGUGAUUGGCGGUGUUAUGAGUUUGACCAAGUGCCUUUAAG